rnacentral:lncRNA from 1 species
AAAUAAUAAGCCUACAAUAACCUUUUAAGUGUUUCCAAAUGCUAGAGUAGCCUCAUGCUUGAUGUAAUGUAAUCCUAAUCACAAAUAAGGAACACUAAUUCUCAUUUUAAAAGCAAUUAUAAUAAGUUAGAUAUAUGUUAGUUGUUAUUAGUGAAUAGGAAAGGACAUGGGUGGGAGUUGGAGAAACUAGAAACUAAGGGAAAAUCUCUUAAAGAAUGUAACAUAACAUAACUGAAAUAAAUAAAUAAAUAAAUAGAGCCCCUUUUCAACUCCUUC